UCAAUUAUCACAGAUUCAGCACAAACUGAAGACAGUUGGACUGCUGGAUCAAUAUUCAGAGUGAUUGUGAUUAUUGUUGAGUUUGCAGUGUUUGCUGCUCCUACUGUGAUUCUUCUUCAGAUCAUCUGUGCAAGAAGAGCUGGGAGGAAGAACUUACAGCACUGAGAGGAAAUAGUGAAUAAAAUACUCUCUACUAAUAAAAGGCCAAAUUACAGCAAAAAUGUAUCUUCAUCUCAAUGAUGUUAUGAAUAUUUGCUGCAGCUUU